rnacentral:rRNA from 1 species
GACGAACGCUGGCGGCGUGCCUAAUACAUGCAAGUCGAGCGAGUCUGCCUUGAAGAUCGGAGUGCUUGCACUCUGUGAAACAAGAUACAGGCUAGCGGCGGACGGGUGAGUAACACGUGGGUAACCUGCCCAAGAGAUCGGGAUAACACCUGGAAACAGAUGCUAAUACCGGAUAACAACAGAUGAUGCCUAUCAACUGUUUAAAAGAUGGUUCUGCUAUCACUCUUGGAUGGACCUGCGGUGCAUUAGCUAGUUGGUAGGGUAACGGCCUACCAAGGCGAGUAUGCAGAACCGAGGUAGGGGACGGACAGGCCCAAUUGGGGCAGGAACACGGCCCAACCUCCUGGGGGAGGAAGCAGAAGGGAAUCUUCAAAAUGGGGCGCGAGUCGGAUGGAGCAACGCCGGGUGAGAGAAGAAGGGUUUCGGCUCGUAAAGCUGUGUGGUGGGGGAAAAAGGACGGGGGUAGUAACUCACUUUUGUUGGACGGUAAUAAAUAAAAAAGUCAGGGCAAACUACGGC